GAUGAACGCUGGCGGCGUGCUUAACACAUGCAAGUCGAACGGAAAGGCUCCUUCUUGCAGGGGUCCUCGAGUGGCGAACGGGUGAGUAACCCGUGGGUGAUCUGUCCUGCACUUCGGGAUAAGCCUGGGAAACUUGGUCUAAUACCGGAUAGGACGAUGGUUUGGAUGCCAUUCUGGAAAGUUUGUUCGGUGUGGGAUGAGCUGGGGGCCUAUCAGCUUGUUGGUGGGGUAAUGGCCGAGCAGGGCGUCGACGGGUAGCCGGCCUGGGAGGGUGGACGGCCCCAUUGCGACUGGGAUACGGCCCAGACUAGAAUGGGAGGCAAGGGUGGGGAGGAGUAUACAGUGGGCGCAAGCCUGGUGCGACGACGCCGCGUGGGGUAAGACGGCCUGCGGGUAGUGAACUACUUUCGCUUGAGACGAGGCGCAAAUGACGGUACCGGGAGAAGAAGCACCGGCUAACUACGUG
rnacentral:rRNA from 1 species